rnacentral:rRNA from 1 species
UGAGGAAUAUUGGUCAAUGGACGAGAGUCUGAACCAGCCAAGUAGCGUGAAGGAUGACUGCCCUAUGGGUUGUAAACUUCUUUUAUACGGGAAUAAAGUUAGCCACGUGUGGCUUUUUGUAUGUACCGUAUGAAUAAGGAUCGGCUAACUCCGUGCCAGCAGCCGCGGUAAUACGGAGGAUCCGAGCGUUAUCCGGAUUUAUUGGGUUUAAAGGGAGCGUAGGCGGGUUGUUAAGUCAGUUGUGAAAGUUUGCGGCUCAACCGUAAAAUUGCAGUUGAUACUGGCGACCUUGAGUGCAACAGAGGUAGGCGGAAUUCGUGGUGUAGCGGUGAAAUGCUUAGAUAUCACGAAGAACUCCGAUUGCGAAGGCAGCUUACUGGAUUGUAACUGACGCUGAUGCUCGAAAGUGUGGGUAUCAAACAGGAUUAGAUACCCUGGUAGUCCACACAGUAAACGAUGAAUACUCGCUGUUGGCGAUAUACGGUCAGCGGCCAAGCGAAAGCAUUAAGUAUUCCACCUGGGGAGUACGCCGGCAACGGUGAAACUCAAAGGAAUUGACGGGGGCCCGCACAAGCGGAGGAACAUGUGGUUUAAUUCGAUGAUACGCGAGGAACCUUACCCGGGCUUAAAUUGCAACUGACUGAACCGGAAACGGUUCUUUCUUCGGACAGUUGUGAAGGUGCUGCAUGGUUGUCGUCAGCUCGUGCCGUGAGGUGUCGGCUUAAGUGCCAUAACGAGCGCAACCCUUAUCGAUAGUUACUAGCAGGUCAUGCUGAGGACUCUAUUGAGACUGCCGUCGUAAGAUGUGAGGAAGGUGGGGAUGACGUCAAAUCAGCACGGCCCUUACGUCCGGGGCUACACACGUGUUACAAUGGGGGGUACAGAGGGCUGCUACCACGCAAGUGGAUGCCAAUCCCAAAAACCUCUCUCAGUUCGGAUUGAAGUCUGCAACCCGACUUCAUGAAGCUGGAUUCGCUAGUAAUCGCGCAUCAGCCACGGCGCGGUGAAUACGUUCCC